rnacentral:rRNA from 1 species
GACGAACGCUGGCGGCGUGCUUAACACAUGCAAGUCGAACGGAAAGGCCCUGCUUGUGUGGUGUUCUCGAGGGGCAAACGGGUGAGUAACACGUGAGUAACCUGCCCUUCACUUUGGGAUGACUUCAGGAAACUGGGGCUAACACCGGAUAGGAGCUCCUGCUGCAUGGGGGGGGUUGGAAAUUUUGGGCGGGUGGGGAUGGGCUCGCGGCUUAUCUGCUGGUGGGUGGGGUAGUGGCUUACAAGGGCUUGGCCGGGCAGCCGGCCGGGGUGGGUGACCGGCAACAUUGGGAUUGGGAUACGGCCAAGCCUCCUACGGGAGGCAGCAGUGGGAAAUAUUGCACAAUGGGCGGAAGCCUGAUGAAGCAACGCCGCGUGCGGGAUGCCGGCCUUCGGGUUGUAACCCGCUUCGGCCUGUACCGAACCGUGAGUGACGGUAAUGGGUAAAGAAGCACCGGCUAACUACGUG